rnacentral:rRNA from 1 species
AUUGAACGCUGGCGGCAGGCCUAACACAUGCAAGUCGAGCGGAGCGGCGGACGGGUGAGUAAUGCCUAGGAAUCUGCCUGGUAGUGGGGGAUAACGUCCGCAAACGGGCGCUAAUACCGCAUACUAUCAGAUUAGCCUAGGUCGGAUUAGCUAGUUGGUGGGGUAAAGGCCUACCAAGGCGACGAUCCGUAACUGGUCUGAGAGGAUGAUCAGUCACACUGGAAAGGGGAAACGGUCCAGACUCCUACGGGAGGCAGCAGUGGGUAAUAUUGGACAAUGGGCGAAAGCCUGAUGCAGCCAUGCCGCGUGUGUGAAGAAGGUCUUCGGAUUGUAAAGCACUUUAAGUUGGGAGGCGUUACCAACAGAAGAAGCACCGGCUAACUUCGUGCCAGCCGCCGCGGUAAUAC